GCCCAUCAGUAAGCACAAAGCGAACUAUUCUUUUGCUUUUUACUAAAGAAUACCGUGUGUGCUCUGCAAAUAGUGGCAUACGCUUUAUUUUUGGAGGGUUACUCUUUAUUGAGUUU